AGAUAAGCUAUGAAGGGCACAUGGUGGAUGCCUUGGCAUCAAGAGCCGAAGAAGGACGUUGGAGCCUGCGAUAAGCCCUGGGGAGUUGGCAACCGAGCGUUGAUCCGGGGGUGUCCGAAUGGGGAAACCCAGCACGAGUCAUGUCGUGUUACCCGCGCCUGAAUCUAUAGGGCGUGUGGAGGGAACGCGGGGAAGUGAAACAUCUCAGUACCCGUAGGAAGAGAAAACAAUAGUGAUUCCGAGAGUAGUGGCGAGCGAAAUCGGAUGAGGCCAAACCGGUUACCUGUGAUAGACGGCAGUUGUUGGGUAGUCGGGGUUGUGGGAUAUGUCUUUCAUCGUCUGCCGGCGGUGAGNNNNNNNNNNNNNNNNNNNNNNNNNNNNNNNNNNNNNNNNNNNNNNNNNNNNNNNNNNNNNNNNNNNNNNNNNNNNNNNNNNNNNNNNNNNNNNNNNAUCUCAGUAAGAAACCAAGCAUGAAGGCGAACCAGUUGGGAAGCUGGGCCGUAGCGGGUGAUAGCCCCGUAGUCGUAUGUGUUUGGCUGGGUUGAUGUACUUCCCAAGUAGGACGACACUCGUGGAAUGUCGUGUGAAUCUGGCGGGACCACCCGCUAAGCCUAAAUACUUCUUGAUGACCGAUAGCGGACAAGUACCGUGAGGGAAAGGUGAAAAGUACCCCUGGCGGGGAGUGAAAUAGUACCUGAAACCGUGUGCCUACAAUCCGUCAGAGCCCGGCCGGCCCUUUGGGGCAGUGGGGGUGAUGGCGUGCCUUUUGAAGAAUGAGCCUGCGAGUUAGCGGUGUGUGGCAAGGUUAACCCGUGUGGGGAAGCCGUAGCGAAAGCGAGUCCUAAUAGGGCGAUUGAGUCGCGCGCUCUAGACCCGAAGCGAAGUGAUCUAGCCAUGGGCAGGUUGAAGCGCCGGUAAGACGGCGUGGAGGACCGAACCCACUUCAGUUGAAAAUGGAGGGGAUGACCUGUGGUUAGGGGUGAAAGGCCAAUCAAACUUCGUGAUAGCUGGUUCUCCCCGAAAUGCAUUUAGGUGCAGCGUUGCGUGUUUCUUGCCGGAGGUAGAGCACUGGAUAGCCGAUGGGCCCGACCAGGUUACUGACGUUAGCCAAACUCCGAAUGCCGGUAAGUGAGAGCGCAGCAGUGAGACAGUGGGGGAUAAGCUCCAUUGUCGAGAGGGAAACAGCCCAGACCAUCAGCUAAGGCCCCUAAGCGGUAACUAAGUGGAAAAGGAUGUGGAGUCGCAGUGACAACCAGGAGGUUGGCUUGGAAGCAGCCACCCUUGAAAGAGUGCGUAAUAGCUCACUGGUCAAGUGAUUCCGCGCCGACAAUGUAGCGGGGCUCAAGUUAUCCGCCGAAGCUAUGGCAUUCCGGUUCUGCCGGGAUGGGUAGGGGAGCGUCGUGUACCGAGUGAAGCAGCGGAGUGAUCCAGCGGUGGACGGUACGCGAGUGAGAAUGCAGGCAUGAGUAGCGAAUGAUGUGUGAGAAACACAUCCGCCGAAUGAUCAAGGGUUCCAGGGUCAAGCUAAUCUGCCCUGGGUAAGUCGGGACCUAAGGCGAGGCCGACAGGCGUAGUCGAUGGACAACGGGUUGAUAUUCCCGUACCGGCGAAAUGACGCCCAUGAUGAGGCGCAUGAUGCUAACCAUCUGAAGCGCACGUGACCGAUCCCUUCGGGGUGAGGCGUGUGUGUGGAACAUGGGACCCAAGUGUGUAGUAGUCAAGUGAUGGGGUGACGCAGGAAGGUAGUCGAUCCGGCGCGAUGGUAGUCGCCGGCCAAGCAUGUAGGACUGAGUCUAGGCAAAUCCGGGCUCUGUAUGUCUGAGAUGUGAUGGGGAGCCAUUAGGCGAAGUCGGUGAUCCUAUGCUGUCAAGAAAAACCUCUAGCGAGUCAUGAGCCGCCCGUACCCCAAACCGACUCAGGUGAUCAGGUAGAGAAUACCAAGGCGAUCGAGCGAACCAUGGUUAAGGAACUCGGCAAAAUGCCCCCGUAACUUCGGGAGAAGGGGGGCCUGGAUCGUGAACCCACUAGCUGGGGGAAGCGUGAAAGGCCGCAGAGACCAGGCCCAAGCGACUGUUUACUAAAAACACAGGUCCGUGCGAAGUUGUAAGACGAUGUAUACGGACUGACUCCUGCCCGGUGCUGGAAGGUUAAGAGGACGGGUUAGCCUCACGGCGAAGCUCAGAAUUUAAGCCCCAGUAAACGGCGGUGGUAACUAUAACCAUCCUAAGGUAGCGAAAUUCCUUGUCGGGUAAGUUCCGACCUGCACGAAUGGAGUAACGACUUGGGCGCUGUCUCAACCGUGGACUCGGCGAAAUUGCACUACGAGUAAAGAUGCUCGUUACGCGCGGCAGGACGGAAAGACCCCGGGACCUUUACUAUAGUUUGGUAUUGGUGUUUGGUUCGGCUUGUGUAGGAUAGGUGGGAGACUGUGAAGCGCACACGCCAGUGUGUGUGGAGUCAACGUUGAAAUACCACUCUGGUCGUACUAGAUGUCUAACUUCGGACCAUGAUCUGGUUCAGGGACAGUGCCUGAUGGGUAGUUUAACUGGGGCGGUUGCCUCCUAAAGUGUAACGGAGGCGCUCAAAGGUUCCCUCAGCCUGGUUGGCAAUCAGGUGGCGAGUGUAAGUGCACAAGGGAGCUUGACUGUGAGACAGACAUGUCGAGCAGGGACGAAAGUCGGAACUAGUGAUCUGGCCACGGCAUGUGGAAGCGUGGUCACUCAACGGAUAAAAGGUACCCCGGGGAUAACAGGCUGAUCUUCCCCAAGAGUCCAUAUCGACGGGAUGGUUUGGCACCUCGAUGUCGGCUCGUCGCAUCCUGGGGCUGGAGUAGGUCCCAAGGGUUGGGCUGUUCGCCCAUUAAAGCGGCACGCGAGCUGGGUUUAGAACGUCGUGAGACAGUUCGGUCCCUAUCCGCCGCGCGCGUAGGAAACUUGAGAAAGGCUGUCCCUAGUACGAGAGGACCGGGAUGGACGAACCUCUGGUGUGCCAGUUGUACCGCCAGGUGCAUGGCUGGUUAGCUACGUUCGGAAGUGAUAACCGCUGAACGCAUCUAAGCGGGAAGCACGUUUCAAGAUGAGGUUUCCCACCCUAUAUGGGUUAAGGCCCCCCACAGACUAUGGGGUUGAUAGGCCGGAGGUGUACAGCAGUGAUGCCCAGCCGACCGGUACUAAUAGGCCGAGGGCUUAUCUUU
rnacentral:rRNA from 1 species